AUUCCUACAUGGUAGAGCUACACUGGAGUC
rnacentral:sRNA from 1 species